AUAUGACUCCUCAUCGCAUGGUGGGGGGUGGAAAGCUUUUUGUGGUUUUGGAUGGACUCGCGGCCUAUCAGCUUGUUGGUGAGGUAAUGGCUUACCAAGGCGACGACGGGUAGCCGGCCUGAGAGGGUGACCGGCCACACUGGGACUGAGACACGGCCCAGACUCCUACGGGAGGCAGCAGUGGGGAAUAUUGCACAAUGGGCGCAAGCCUGAUGCAGCGACGCCGCGUGAGGGAUGACGGCCUUCGGGUUGUAAACCUCUUUCAGUAGGGAAGAAGCGAAAGUGACGGUACCUGCAGAAGAAGCGCCGGCUAACUACGUGCCAGCAGCCGCGGUAAUACGUAGGGCGCAAGCGUUAUCCGGAAUUAUUGGGCGUAAAGAGCUCGUAGGCGGUUUGUCGCGUCUGCCGUGAAAGUCCGGGGCUCAACUCCGGAUCUGCGGUGGGUACGGGCAGACUAGAGUGAUGUAGGGGAGACUGGAAUUCCUGGUGUAGCGGUGAAAUGCGCAGAUAUCAGGAGGAACACCGAUGGCGAAGGCAGGUCUCUGGGCAUUAACUGACGCUGAGGAGCGAAAGCAUGGGGAGCGAACAGGAUUAGAUACCCUGGUAGUCCAUGCCGUAAACGUUGGGCACUAGGUGUGGGGGACAUUCCACGUUUUCCGCGCCGUAGCUAACGCAUUAAGUGCCCCGCCUGGGGAGUACGGCCGCAAGGCUAAAACUCAAAGGAAUUGACGGGGGCCCGCACAAGCGGCGGAGCAUGCGGAUUAAUUCGAUGCAACGCGAAGAACCUUACCAAGGCUUGACAUGAACCGGUAACGCCUGGAGACAGGUGCCCCGCUUGCGGUCGGUUUACAGGUGGUGCAUGGUUGUCGUCAGCUCGUGUCGUGAGAUGUUGGGUUAAGUCCCGCAACGAGCGCAACCCUCGUUCUAUGUUGCCAGCACGUGAUGGUGGGGACUCAUAGGAGACUGCCGGGGUCAACUCGGAGGAAGGUGGGGACGACGUCAAAUCAUCAUGCCCCUUAUGUCUUGGGCUUCACGCAUGCUACAAUGGCCGGUACAAAGGGUUGCGAUACUGUGAGGUGGAGCUAAUCCCAAAAAGCCGGUCUCAGUUCGGAUUGGGGUCUGCAACUCGACCCCA
rnacentral:rRNA from 1 species